rnacentral:rRNA from 1 species
UACGUAGGUCCCGAGCGUUAUCCGGAUUUAUUGGGUUUAAAGGGUGCGUAGGCGGGCUUUUAAGACAGCGGUAAAAAUUCGGGGCUCAACCCCGUCCGGCCGUUGAAACUGGGGGUCUUGAGUGGGCGAGAAGAAGGCGGAAUGCGUGGUGUAGCGGUGAAAUGCAUAGAUAUCACGCAGAACCCCGAUUGCGAAGGCAGCCUUCCGGCGCCCUACUGACGCUGAGGCACGAAAGUGCGGGGAUCGAACAGG